GGCCGUGUAAAAAAAAAAAUUUUGGAAGAAAAUCUGGGCGUGAGAAAUCCUUGUGUACCAGGUGAAGGUCUAUAUCUUUUCGAGAGAAAAAGAAAGAAAAGAAAGAAAAAAUGUGCGCAGGGUUUCAGUGAGUUCUUCAGGGUUUCAGCCUGGAGUUCGGGAAGUGAGAAGGUGAGCUACGAGUAUCGCAAAUCAGAUUUCAAGAAGAUCUUCAACAUCCUCU
rnacentral:lncRNA from 1 species